rnacentral:rRNA from 1 species
AUUGAACGCUGGCGGCAUGCCUUACACAUGCAAGUCGAACGGCAGCGGGGGAGAAGCUUGCUUUUCCUGCCGGCGAGUGGCGAACGGGUGAGUAAUACAUCGGAACGUGCCCUGUAGUGGGGGAUAACUAGUCGAAAGAUUAGCUAAUACCGCAUACGACCUGAGGGUGAAAGUGGGGGACCGCAAGGCCUCAUGCUAUAGGAGCGGCCGAUGUCUGAUUAGCUAGUUGGUGGGGUAAAGGCCUACCAAGGCGACGAUCAGUAGCUGGUCUGAGAGAACGAUCAACCACACUGGGACUGAGACACGGCCCAGAGUCCUACGGGAGGCAGCAGUGGGGAAUUUUGGACAAUGGGCGAAAGCCUGAUCCAGCAAUGCCGCGUGUGUGAAGAAGGCCUUCGGGUUGUAAAGCACUUUUGUCCGGAAAGAAAUGGCUCUGGUUAAUACCUGGGGUCGAUGACGGUACCGGAAGAAUAAGGACCGGCUAACUACGUGCCAGCCGCCGCCGUAA